GGGUUGUGAGGUUAAGCGACUAAGCGUACACGGUGGAUGCCCUGGCAGUCAGAGGCGAUGAAGGACGUGCUAAUCUGCGAUAAGCGUCGGUAAGGUGAUAUGAACCGUUAUAACCGGCGAUUUCCGAAUGGGGAAACCCAGUGUGAUUCGUCACACUAUCAUUAACUGAAUCCAUAGGUUAAUGAGGCGAACCGGGGGAACUGAAACAUCUAAGUACCCCGAGGAAAAGAAAUCAACCGAGAUUCCCCCAGUAGCGGCGAGCGAACGGGGAGCAGCCCAGAGCCUGAAUCAGUGUGUGUGUUAGUGGAAGCGUCUGGAAAGGCGCGCGAUACAGGGUGACAGCCCCGUACACAAAAAUGCACAUGCUGUGAGCUCGAUGAGUAGGGCGGGACACGUGGUAUCCUGUCUGAAUAUGGGGGGACCAUCCUCCAAGGCUAAAUACUCCUGACUGACCGAUAGUGAACCAGUACCGUGAGGGAAAGGCGAAAAGAACCCCGGCGAGGGGAGUGAAAAAGAACCUGAAACCGUGUACGUACAAGCAGUGGGAGCCUCUUUAUGGGGUGACUGCGUACCUUUUGUAUAAUGGGUCAGCGACUUAUAUUCUGUAGCAAGGUUAACCGAAUAGGGGAGCCGAAGGGAAACCGAGUCUUAACUGGGCGUUAAGUUGCAGGGUAUAGACCCGAAACCCGGUGAUCUAGCCAUGGGCAGGUUGAAGGUUGGGUAACACUAACUGGAGGACCGAACCGACUAAUGUUGAAAAAUUAGCGGAUGACUUGUGGCUGGGGGUGAAAGGCCAAUCAAACCGGGAGAUAGCUGGUUCUCCCCGAAAGCUAUUUAGGUAGCGCCUCGUGAAUUCAUCUCCGGGGGUAGAGCACUGUUUCGGCAAGGGGGUCAUCCCGACUUACCAACCCGAUGCAAACUGCGAAUACCGGAGAAUGUUAUCACGGGAGACACACGGCGGGUGCUAACGUCCGUCGUGAAGAGGGAAACAACCCAGACCGCCAGCUAAGGUCCCAAAGUCAUGGUUAAGUGGGAAACGAUGUGGGAAGGCCCAGACAGCCAGGAUGUUGGCUUAGAAGCAGCCAUCAUUUAAAGAAAGCGUAAUAGCUCACUGGUCGAGUCGGCCUGCGCGGAAGAUGUAACGGGGCUAAACCAUGCACCGAAGCUGCGGCAGCGACACUAUGUGUUGUUGGGUAGGGGAGCGUUCUGUAAGCCUGUGAAGGUGUGCUGUGAGGCAUGCUGGAGGUAUCAGAAGUGCGAAUGCUGACAUAAGUAACGAUAAAGCGGGUGAAAAGCCCGCUCGCCGGAAGACCAAGGGUUCCUGUCCAACGUUAAUCGGGGCAGGGUGAGUCGACCCCUAAGGCGAGGCCGAAAGGCGUAGUCGAUGGGAAACAGGUUAAUAUUCCUGUACUUGGUGUUACUGCGAAGGGGGGACGGAGAAGGCUAUGUUGGCCGGGCGACGGUUGUCCCGGUUUAAGCGUGUAGGCUGGUUUUCCAGGCAAAUCCGGAAAAUCAAGGCUGAGGCGUGAUGACGAGGCACUACGGUGCUGAAGCGACAAAUGCCCUGCUUCCAGGAAAAGCCUCUAAGCAUCAGGUAACAUCAAAUCGUACCCCAAACCGACACAGGUGGUCAGGUAGAGAAUACCAAGGCGCUUGAGAGAACUCGGGUGAAGGAACUAGGCAAAAUGGUGCCGUAACUUCGGGAGAAGGCACGCUGAUAUGUAGGUGAAGCGACUUGCUCGUGGAGCUGAAAUCAGUCGAAGAUACCAGCUGGCUGCAACUGUUUAUUAAAAACACAGCACUGUGCAAACACGAAAGUGGACGUAUACGGUGUGACGCCUGCCCGGUGCCGGAAGGUUAAUUGAUGGGGUUAGCGCAAGCGAAGCUCUUGAUCGAAGCCCCGGUAAACGGCGGCCGUAACUAUAACGGUCCUAAGGUAGCGAAAUUCCUUGUCGGGUAAGUUCCGACCUGCACGAAUGGCGUAAUGAUGGCCAGGCUGUCUCCACCCGAGACUCAGUGAAAUUGAACUCGCUGUGAAGAUGCAGUGUACCCGCGGCAAGACGGAAAGACCCCGUGAACCUUUACUAUAGCUUGACACUGAACAUUGAGCCUUGAUGUGUAGGAUAGGUGGGAGGCUUUGAAGUGUGGACGCCAGUCUGCAUGGAGCCGACCUUGAAAUACCACCCUUUAAUGUUUGAUGUUCUAACGUAGACCCCUAAUCGGGGUUGCGGACAGUGUCUGGUGGGUAGUUUGACUGGGGCGGUCUCCUCCUAAAGAGUAACGGAGGAGCACGAAGGUUGGCUAAUCCUGGUCGGACAUCAGGAGGUUAGUGCAAUGGCAUAAGCCAGCUUGACUGCGAGCGUGACGGCGCGAGCAGGUGCGAAAGCAGGUCAUAGUGAUCCGGUGGUUCUGAAUGGAAGGGCCAUCGCUCAACGGAUAAAAGGUACUCCGGGGAUAACAGGCUGAUACCGCCCAAGAGUUCAUAUCGACGGCGGUGUUUGGCACCUCGAUGUCGGCUCAUCACAUCCUGGGGCUGAAGUAGGUCCCAAGGGUAUGGCUGUUCGCCAUUUAAAGUGGUACGCGAGCUGGGUUUAGAACGUCGUGAGACAGUUCGGUCCCUAUCUGCCGUGGGCGCUGGAGAACUGAGGGGGGCUGCUCCUAGUACGAGAGGACCGGAGUGGACGCAUCACUGGUGUUCGGGUUGUCAUGCCAAUGGCACUGCCCGGUAGCUAAAUGCGGAAGAGAUAAGUGCUGAAAGCAUCUAAGCACGAAACUUGCCCCGAGAUGAGUUCUCCCUGACUCCUUGAGAGUCCUGAAGGAACGUUGAAGACGACGACGUUGAUAGGCCGGGUGUGUAAGCGCAGCGAUGCGUUGAGCUAACCGGUACUAAUGAACCGUGAGGCUUAACCUUACAACGCCGAAG
rnacentral:rRNA from 2 species